rnacentral:lncRNA from 1 species
CGGCGUAUAGCGUUGGCAACAAUAUGAAGGUGUUAAUGGAGUUAAGGUUUUUAUUGAGAGUACAAGAAGAAAAAGAAUGGAAGAAUAAGGGUGGGGGUUUCGGGCUUGAGGGUUGUUUUCUCUUUUUUUUUUAGUUUGGGUUUUUUUUCUUUUUUUUCUUGGGCCACAUUUGGCCGUUUGGCCCUUUUUCUCUUUUUUUUUUCUUAUUUUUUUGGGUUAAUUUGGGCUUGUUUUGGGUUUGAGGUGUUGGGUUGGUUUUUGGGUUUGUGUGUGUAUGUUUUUUUAUUUGGGUUGGUGUGGGGUUUGGGGUAUUAGGUUGGUUUUGGGGUUUUUAUUUUGUAGGUUAUGUGGAUUUGGGUUAGGUUUGGUCAUGUGAAGAAAAAUGGUAGCACUAAGCAUGGCGUGUCCAUGCAACGAUUGGGACCCGACUUUCGAAAAAAUGAUAGCCUCCACUAAUAUUCUUGGAAAAAAAAUAUGUUAAAAUAGAUUAAAU